rnacentral:ncRNA from 19 species
CGCCGUUCUCAGGGCGGGGUGAAAUUCCCCACCGGCGGUAAGCAGGCCUAGUCCCGUAAGCCCGCGAGCGGCUUCCGGUCAUCUGGAAGUGUCAGCAGAUCUGGUGCAAUUCCAGAGCCGACGGUUACAGUCCGGAUGGAAGAGAAGGUAC